UUGCCCACUUUAAGACCUAUUCUUUAAGUGGCCAACACAGGGGGGUAUAAUAAAGCUCUCUAAAACUCAAGGUAAAAAUGUUUUUACUUUGUAUCCUGUCUGGAGCGACAUUG